GUUUCUAGGGUGUAUUACAGCACAUUAGAUUUUCGUUCUAAAGGGAUAAACAAUUUUAUUAGAAAUG
rnacentral:tRNA from 1 species